ensembl:snoRNA SNORD81 Small nucleolar RNA SNORD81
AAAAAUACAUGAUGAUCUCACCUCAGUUUGAACUCUCUCACUGAUUACUUGAUGACAAUAAAAAGAUCUGAUAUUGUG